UUAUAGCUCUGACGGAGUACAGAGCGAAGAUGGGCGACAGUAUUCCUAUUGAAGAAUGAGCCUGUGAGUAUGUGUAUGUUGCAAGCUUAAGGACUUAUGGUCCGAAGGCGUAGGGAAACCGAGUCUUAACCGGCGAUUAAGUAGCAUAUACAUAACCCGAAACUAGGUGAGCAAUCCAUGACCAGGUUGAAUCCCGACUAAUCUUGGGAAGAGGACCGAACCCACGUAUUGUGCAACAUACGGGGAUGAGUUGUGGAUAGCGGAGAAAUUCUAAUCGAACCUAGUAAUAGCUGGUUCUCCUCGAAAUAGUUUUAGGACUAGCUGUGUAUGUUUCCCAUGGUGGUAGAGCACUGGAAGAGAGUGGGGUCCGCAAGGAUACCCCUUUCUAUCAAACUCCGAAUACCAUGGAUUAAAAGUACGCAAGUCAGACUGUGGGGGCUAAGCUUCAUAGUCAAAAGGGAAACAGCCCAGAUCACAAACUAAGGUCCCUAAAUUAAUACUAAGUGUUAAAGGUGGUGUUAAUUCUCAUACAACCAGGAUGUUGGCUUGGAAGCAGCCAUCAUUUAAAGAAAGCGUAAUAGCUCACUGGUCAAGAGUUUUCGCGCUGAAAAUUUACCGGGGCUAAGUAUUAUACCGAAGUUGUGAAUUAUCUUGACAUUUUGUUAAGAUAGUGGUAGAGGAGCGUUCUGAAUGCACUGAAGCCGGAUCUGUGAGGACCGGUGGAGCGUUCAGAAGUGAGAAUGCAGGCACAAGUAGCAAAAAUCCCGAUGAAAGUUCGGGACGCCGAAAACCCAAGGUUUCCAGGGCAACGAGAAUCGUCCCUGGGUUAGUCGAUCCUAAGGCCAGGCCGAAAGGCGUAACCGAUGGAAGAGCAGAUUAAUAUUUCUGCACUUGUUAUUGUUUGUUAUUAUAUGCACAUCAUAAUGAUUCGAGCGUUCUUUGGCUAUGGACGUUUCGCAAGAUGAAGAUAGAGCCCUCGGGUAAUGUCAAUUCGAGUUUAAGUGGUGUCUAGAAAAGUAUAAUAACGUUAGGCAAUAGCAAAUCGUACCACAAACCGACUCAGGUGGGUAGGUCGAGAAGACUAAGGCGCACGAGAGAAACAUGGUUAAGGAACUCGGCAAACUAGCGACCGUAACUUCGGGAUAAGGUCUGCCCUAUUUAUUUAGGGCCGCAGCUAAAGACUCCAUGCAACUGUUUACCAAAAACACAGCUCCCUGCAAAAGCGUAAGCUGAAGUAUAGGGGGCGAUGCCUGGCCAGUGUCAGAACGUUAAGGGGAGAGGUUAUCCUUCGGGAGAAGCUUUGAUCUGAAGCGCUGAUGAACGCCGGCGGUAACUAUAACCGUCCUAAGGUAGCGAAAUUCCUUGUCGGGUAAGUUCCGACCCGCACGAAUGGCAUAAUGAUGUGGAGACUGUCUUAACCAUGUACUCGGCGAAAAUUCAGGUGUCGUGAAGAUGCGACAUACCUGCAGUUAGACGAAAAGACCCCAUGAAGCUUUACUAUAACUUGAU
rnacentral:rRNA from 1 species